rfam:Klebsormidium nitens DNA, contig: KFL_150.
GUGAGCCGUGUGAUGGGCGACUAUCUAGCACGGUUCGGAGAGGACUUUAGU